UACGUAGGGGGCAAGCGUUGUCCGGAUUCAUUGGGCGUAAAGAGCGUGUAGGCGGCCAGGUAGGUCGGUUGUGAAAACUGGAGGCUCAACCUUCAGAGGUCGACCGAAACCAUCUGGCUAGAGUCCGGGAGAGGAGAGUGGAAUUCCUGGUGUAGCGGUGAAAUGCGUAGAUAUCAGGAGGAACACCGGUGGCGAAGGCGGCUUUCUGGACAGAUACCGACGCUGAGGCACGAAAGCUAGGGGAGCAAACAGG
rnacentral:rRNA from 1 species